rnacentral:rRNA from 1 species
CCUACGGGUGGCAGCAGUGGGGGAUAUUGCACAAUGGGGGAAACUCUGAUGCAGCGACGCCGCGUGAGUGAAGACGGUUUUCGGUUUGUAAACCUCUGUCAUUGGGGAAGAAAAUGACGGUACCCAAAGAGGAAGCUCCGGCUAACUACGUGCCAGCAGCCGCGGUAAUACGUAGGGGGCGAGCGUUGUCCGGAUUUACUGGGUGUAAAGGGAGCGUAGGCGGGCUGGAAAGCUGAAUGUUAAAUCUUGUGGCUUAACUGGUAGCCGGGUUGAAAAAUUUGUGACUUGAGUGAAGGAGAGGCAGGCGGAAUUCCUAGUGUAGCGGUGAAAUGCGUAGAUAUUAGGAGGAACACCAGUGGCGAAGGCGGCCUGCUGGGCUUUAACUGACGUUGAGGCUCGAAAGCGUGGGGAGCAAACAGGAUUAGAUACCCUAGUAGUC